rnacentral:lncRNA from 1 species
CAACUGUAGCUGUAAAAAACUGUAGCUGUAUCAACCACAAGAGUAGACUGAGACUCAUGAUCAUCAACUCUCAGCAAGAAACUGACCUAAAGUUCACUUUGUAAACUGUUGUUCCUUUUUAGCAGGCUUGUUCACAAAGGACAUAGUGAAGCUAGUCCAGGCUUUUAGACAUUGCAACUGACAAGAAAAGAACACUGAAAUAGCACUAAAUAAUGAAAUGAUUAUGCUUUCUAGUGUUGCUGUGGUGGCCCACUGUGAUUGGCACCAAAGUCUUACCACCUCGAGCUCCUCCUUUAUUUAGUCUCUCUUCAUCACCUUGUUAUCAGCCUGCCAUUUAUGCAUUCAUAAUUAUAAGAUUUUCAUAAAAAAUUGAAAUUAUAAUUGCAA